AGCGAACGCUGGCGGCAGGCCUAACACAUGCAAGUCGAACGAAGUCUUCGGACUUAGUGGCGGACGGGUGAGUAACACGUGGGAACGUGCCCUUUGGUACGGAAUAACUCAGGGAAACUUGAGCUAAUACCGUAUGUGCCCUUCGGGGGAAAGAUUUAUCGCCAUUGGAGCGGCCCGCGUCUGAUUAGCUAGUUGGUGAGGUAAAGGCUCACCAAGGCGACGAUCAGUAGCUGGUCUGAGAGGAUGAUCAGCCACAUUGGGACUGAGACACGGCCCAAACUCCGACGGGAGGCAGCAGUGGGGAAUCUUGCGCAAUGGGCGAAAGCCUGACGCAGCCAUGCCGCGUGAAUGAUGAAGGUCUCAGGAUUGUAAAAUUCUUUCACCGGGGACGAUAAUGACGGUACCCGGACAAGAAGCCCCGGCUAACUUCGUGCCAGCCGCCGCCGUAAUAC
rnacentral:rRNA from 1 species